rnacentral:rRNA from 1 species
UAGGGAAUAUUGCACAAUGGGGAAAGCCCUGAUGCAGCGACGCCGCGUGAAGGAAGAAGUAUCUCGGUAUGUAAACUUCUAUCAGCAGGGAAGACAAUGACGGUACCUGACUAAGAAGCCCCGGCUAACUACGUGCCAGCAGCCGCGGUAAUACGUAGGGGGCAAGCGUUAUCCGGAUUUACUGGGUGUAAAGGGAGCGUAGACGGAUCUGCAAGUCUGGAGUGAAAGCCCGGGGCUCAACCCCGGGACUGCUUUGGAAACUGUCAGGCUAGAGUGCUGGAGAGGUAAGUGGAAUUCCUAGUGUAGCGGUGAAAUGCGUAGAUAUUAGGAGGAACACCAGUGGCGAAGGCGGCCUGCUGGACGAUGACUGACGUUGAGGCUCGAAAGCGUGGGGAGCAAACAGGAUUAGAUACCC